rnacentral:lncRNA from 1 species
UCCUUCCAAAAGGCUGAGCUGGAGUUGGGGGUUCUCUCAUGGCUUCUCUUGGCUCCCGUCACAAGAACUAUUCUAGCUUAAGGGUAUAAAACAGGAUGUUUGUCGCCAGGCGCGGUGGCUCACGCCUGUAAUCCCAGCACUUUGGGAGGCCGAGGCGGGCGGAUCAUGAGCAUCACUUGCGGAUAGGUCUAAUUGUCCUCAUUAUAUGGAAGAAGAAACUGAUAUUCUAGGAAGUUUAGUAACGAUAUAGAUAUAAUGCAGCUGGGAAGGGUGUGGACUUAUGAAGUCAAAACUAGGUCUGUUAGACUGUAAAAUCUGUGCUUUGAAGAUUGUGCAUCUGGGAAAGAAAAUGAAAAACUCUAGGAAAUUCUUAGAUCCAAUUAGUAAUUGUGGUCACAACACUUAAGAAUGAAUUCAGAAUAUACAAUUAUACCCAAAACACUUGCAAUGCCUUUUUUUUCAUGUUAUAGAGAAUUACAGAGAGACUCUAGAAUUCUUUAUGUCUGUAUUCAAGAAGAAGGAAGAUAAAAUAAUGAAGAAACCAAGUGCAAUUCUAAGACAUAUGUGCCCUGAACCAUUCUUUAUUUGAAUAAAACAUAGAUCCAGACCAUCAUUAGCCCCCUGCAAAAGUUGAGAUAGAUGCUUUGAAGUAACACCUUCUCCCUAUUUGUUUUCAUUAUUUUAACCUAGACUUCGGGAUAGCCUUGUAGCGUUGGUAACAAGUAAACUGUUUCACUAGAGGCAGACGGAUUUCUAAGAUAUUUUGUUAGUUUUUAUUAAGUUAGAAAAGCUCAUGAAAUCUUUGCUGGGGCUGAGAGAAUGGAAUUAUCUGAUUAUUAGUA